rnacentral:rRNA from 1 species
AGUUCGAACGAUGAUGCUGGUGCUUGCACCGGUGGAUUAGUGGCGAACGGGUGAGUAACACGUGAGUAACCUGCCCCUGACUUCGGGAUAAGCCCGGGAAACUGGGUCUAAUACCGGAUAUGACUUCCUGCUGCAUGGCAGGGGGUGGAAAGAUUUAUCGGUUGGGGAUGGACUCGCGGCCUAUCAGCUUGUUGGUGAGGUAAUGGCUCACCAAGGCGACGACGGGUAGCCGGCCUGAGAGGGUGACCGGCCACACUGGGACUGAGACACGGCCCAGACUCCUACGGGAGGCAGCAGUGGGGAAUAUUGCACAAUGGGCGAAAGCCUGAUGCAGCGACGCCGCGUGAGGGAUGACGGCCUUCGGGUUGUAAACCUCUUUCAGUAGGGAAGAAGCCCCUUUUUGGGGGUGACGGUACUUGCAGAAGAAGCGCCGGCUAACUACGUGCCAGCAGCCGCGGUAAUACGUAGGGCGCACGCGUUAUCCGGAAUUAUUGGG